AAGGGAGACCUAAUUCAGGUAGGAGACGAAAAAAAGUAGUCCCUACCAAGAAUCAAUCCCAAAAGGUCGGAGCGAGGCAAAAUUGGCUUUCAAACUAGGUUCUGGGUUCACAUAAGACCUGAAUCAGGAACAAGGGCUAUUAGCUCAGGUGGUUAGAGCGCACCCCUGAUAAGGGUGAGGUCUCUGGUUCGAGUCCAGGAUGGCCCACCUGCACAGGUGGCAAAAACAAAGAAAAGAAGCUCCGAAUCAGCACCUUAUCUUACUCAUAUAGUAAGAGAGAAUGCUGGCUCUGAGUUCAGAGUCCAGAGGAACCUUGAAAACUGCAUAGAGCUAGGUGAAAAAGCCAAAAAAGAAGACCGCAUGCAA
rnacentral:tRNA from 1 species